rnacentral:rRNA from 1 species
AGAACGACGCUGGCGGCGUGCCUAACACAUGCAAGUCGAACGAGAAUGCAGGCUUCGGUCUGCUAGUAAAGUGGCGCACGGGUGAGUAACACGUGGGUAACGUACAUCGUAGUGGGGGAUAACCAGGUGAAAGCUUGGCUAAUACCGCAUGAGUCCGUCGGUACGCGAGUAUUGACGGGGAAAGGGAUGCAAGUCCCGCUAUGAGAUCGGCCCGCGGCCCAUUAGCUAGUUGGUAGGGUAAUGGCCUACCAAGGCGACGAUGGGUAGCUGGUCUGAGAGGAUGAUCAGCCACACUGGAACUGAGACACGGCCCAGACUCCUACGGGAGGCAGCAGUGGGGAAUAUUGGACAAUGGGCGAAAGCCUGAUCCAGCAAUGCCGCGUGAGUGAUGAAGGCCUUAGGGUUGUAAAGCUCUUUUACUGGGGAUGAUAAUGACAGUACCCAGAGAAUAAGCUCCGGCUAACUCCGUG